rnacentral:rRNA from 1 species
UGGGGAAUUUUGGACAAUGGGCGCAAGCCUGAUCCAGCAAUGCCGCGUGCAGGAUGAAGGCCUUCGGGUUGUAAACUGCUUUUGUACGGAACGAAACGGCCUUUUCUAAUACGAGAGGCUAAUGACGGUACCGUAAGAAUAAGCACCGGCUAACUACGUGCCAGCAGCCGCGGUAAUACGUAGGGUGCGAGCGUUAAUCGGAAUUACUGGGCGUAAAGCGUGCGCAGGCGGUUUUGUAAGACAGAUGUGAAAUCCCCGGGCUCAACCUGGGACCUGCAUUUGUGACUGCAAGGCUAGAGUACGGUAGAGGGGGAUGGAAUUCCGCGUGUAGCAGUGAAAUGCGUAGAUAUGCGGAGGAACACCGAUGGCGAAGGCAAUCCCCUGGACCUGUACUGACGCUCAUGCACGAAAGCGUGGGGAGCAAACAG